rnacentral:rRNA from 1 species
ACUAAAAACUUAGUCCUACCAAUACACAAACAAUAACCCGUACAAAACAAAUCAUUUGACACACUAAGUAGAUGCGAUCGAACACUAAAUUAGGCACAAUAACUAAAGUACCGCAAGGGAACAAUUAAACUCUUAAGCAACAAAUAGCAGAGAUUAAACCUCGUACCUUUUGCAUCAUGGUUUAGCAAGAAAACAGGACAAGAUGAAUCAAAGCCCACAAACCCGAAACCAAGUGAGCUACUUUAGAGCAGCCAACUAGGGCAAACCCGUCUCUGUAGCAAAAGAGUGGGAAGACUCAAAAGUAGAAGCGAAACACCUACCGAACUUGGAGAUAGCUGGUUACCCAAAAAAGAACCUAAGUUCAACUUUAGACCGAACACGGCUACAAAUAGCCACCUAAAGACAUUCAAUAGGGGUACAGCUCUAUUGAAACAGGAUACAACCUGACGUUGCGAGUAAUUAAAAUUAUAACACCAGUAGGCCUUUAAGCAGCCAUCCAAAAAAAUAUCGUUAAAGAAUUACAAACAAAAAUACCAAAAAUUACUAACAACUCCAACACAAACUAAGGGUUAAUCUAUAUACAUAGAUGAACUUAUGCUAAAACUAAUAAUAAGAAAUACUCUCUUAAGCAUAGCUGUACGUUAGAAACGGAAACACCACUAACAAUUAACAGACCACAAGAGGACACACAGAAAUACACUCCACAAACUAUACACAAACUGUUACACCAACACAGGAAUGCAGAAAAGAAAGAUAAAAAGUUACAAAAGGAACUCGGCAACCAACGGCUCCAACUGUUUACCAAAAACAUAACCUUUAGCCAAAACAGUAUUAAAGGCAAUGCCUGCCCAGUGAAACACAUUCAACGGCCGCGGUAUCCUAACCGUGCAAAGGUAGCGUAAUCAUUUGUCUAUUAAUUGUAGACUAGUAUGAAAGGCCACAUGAGAGCCAAACUGUCUCUUGUAACCAAUCAAUUAAACUGAUCCUCUAGUACAAAAGCUAGAAUAUCCAUAUAAGACCAGAAGACCCUGUGAAGCUUAAACUAACCUACUAAAAAGACUAGUAGCUACUUUUGGUUGGGGCGACCUUGGAACAAAACAAAACUUCCAAACACCAUGAGCCAUACCUCAUAUUAUUAAGGCAAACAAGCCAUCAUAUGACCCAGUAACACUGACAAUUGAACCAAGUUACUCCAGGGAUAACAGCGCUAUCUUCUUCAAGAGCCCAUAUCAAAAAGAAGGUUUACGACCUCGAUGUUGGAUCAGGACACCCAAAUGGUGCAGCCGCUAUUAAAGGUUCGUUUGUUCAACG